rnacentral:rRNA from 1 species
CCUACGGGCGGCAGCAGUGAGGAAUAUUGGUCAAUGGCCGGAAGGCUGAACCAGCCAUGCCGCGUGAAGGUCAGUGCCCUAUGGGCGUUAAACUUCUUUUGUGCGGGAGCAAUAAUGGUCACGUGUGGCCAGACGAGAGUACCGUACGAAUAAGCAUCGGCUAACUCCGUGCCAGCAGCCGCGGUAAUACGGGGGAUGCAAGCGUUAUCCGGAUGUAUUGGGUUUAAAGGGUGCGUAGGCUGUGAGGUAAGUCAGCGGGGAAAUGCCCCGGCUCAACGGGGUGAAGUGACAUUGAUACUGCCUUGCUGGAAUGCGGAUGCCGUGGGAGGAAUGUGUGGUGUAGCGGUGAAAUGCAUAGAUAUCACACAGAACACCGAUUGCGAAGGCAUCUCACGAAUCCGCGAUUGACGCUGAUGCACGAAAGCGUGGGUAUCAAACAGGAUUAGAUACCCUUGUAGUC